rnacentral:rRNA from 1 species
CCUACGGGUGGCAGCAGUGAGGAAUAUUGGUCAAUGGGCGGAAGCCUGAACCAGCCAAGUAGCGUGCAGGAUGACGGCCCUACGGGUUGUAAACUGCUUUUAUACGGGAAUAACGCGCCUUACGUGUAGGGCUUUGCAUGUACCGUAUGAAUAAGGACCGGCUAAUUCCGUGCCAGCAGCCGCGGUAAUACGGAAGGUCCGGGCGUUAUCCGGAUUUAUUGGGUUUAAAGGGUGCGUAGGCGGAAUGCCAAGUCAGCGGUAAAAUCGCGGGGCUCAACCUCGCUCCGCCGUUGAAACUGGCGUUCUUGAGUGGGCGAGAAGUAUGCGGAAUGCGUGGUGUAGCGGUGAAAUGCAUAGAUAUCACGCAGAACUCCGAUUGCGAAGGCAGCAUACCGGCGCCCAACUGACGCUGAAGCACGAAAGCGUGGGUAUCGAACAGGAUUAGAUACCCUUGUAGUC